CGUAUUGUAGGAACAUCUAUUUGGAUUAUCAAAAUCAAUCUUGGUACAAUCAUCUUACCCCCCCCCCCCCCCCCCCCCGUUUAAAAAAAAGUAUUAAUGUAAAACGUGACAACAAAAAAGUAAUAAAAAUUGAAUAAUUUGCACAGCUGCUCUGUGUAUCAUUUGGACAACCGUAAAAAGACUGUCGCAACCGAAUUAAGCAUCUGUUUUCGUUAGCACUAAAUGAUUUAAAAAAAUAUACAUUAGCUUACCCAUGUAUGCACAUAAAAUCGUCACAUCUGCACGAAGCUAUAAGACCGCCG
rnacentral:lncRNA from 1 species